AAGACCUUACUUCAUAGGAUCAUUUCUAUAGUAAGCUCUUCACCCAGAAACUCACACACUGUCUAUGGUUGUAAACU